CAGAGGGAGAUGGUAGAGAGAGAAUGGAGAGGACGGUUCCUGGCUUCUGUUGUGGCGUCUUUUCUAUUUGACUUCAUGGUUGUAAGUAUUUCCAGAUGGUGAAUCAGACACCAGACGUAACAAUAUUUCCAUAUUUGGGUAUAGCAGUAGCCUGCGUUUUUAACAUUUUUCUGCCUCUGUUAUCCAACCACAAAGCAUUCUUGACAGCUUCAAAUGUUGUUAAAUAUAGAUUUAACUUCUCUUCCCAGAGCAGGAAAUUCUUUGGAAUUCCUUGUUUUUCAUGCAAUCUGUCUAUCAUGAUUUAAAAUCAAAGCACAGUGGAUCAUCCAACUGGCCGUAUAUACCUCAAUUGGAGGUUGGGGAUGGGGGACGGCAGAGAUCCAGUCUGCCGCACUGCGUUCAAACACAGCCAUUCCAGAGAUUCCUUUAAAAUCACAUUAAAGUUUUCUAACAAGGGUGUGUGGGUUUGUUUCUGGAUUUCAACUGGGGAAUCUUGAGGAUGAGUUUGCCCCAGAGGAGAAAUUUAGAGAACUUUACCGUCAGCUGCCCAUUUAAAGCAGGGGGUGUGUUGUGGGAGGGGGGUGGGAAGCUGGAGCUACAGGGCCAGGAGGUGUGGAAGCAGGAGACACCAGAGUAACCUAUGUGCACAGCCUCUCCGUAUACCAUGUGCUGGUGCGCCUGCUAGUAGUCGACGACAUUAGGCAAGAAAAACAGCGGCUCCUCAAGUCCUGCCCGAGGACCGUCCAGAAACCCCAGCCUCCGGUGGUCUUCUCACCGCCUCCGAUGGGAGCUGCAGAUCAGUCCAAGUUGACGGACAGGAGGCGAAAUGUGCAAAUGUUUAUGGUUUCAUCUGUACAGAAAAGGAGCUCUGGUAGCUUUGGUCAACACUUUUCAGCAGAAAAUGCUUCAAAAUACAAAGCAAGAGCUAUUUUUAAGAAAUAUCUUUUAAAUUUAUAUUAGCAUCCUCCUCACAAGACUCUAUGGUUGACUGUGCACAAAGAUAUAAUUCUGCCUGCCUGCAUGAGAUGGAUCAAGUGACCUUGUAUAUUCUCUUCCUCCUCUGUGCUUGUUUCAUCUCCAUAAACAUCUGGUGGAUGGCAGACAGCUGAGCCAGGUACUGCCCCUUCCUAAACACAAAUGCCCUCCCCAUUCACCAUUCCCUAGAGCCUUCACCACAUUUAUCUAUGAAAGGCAUUUACUAGGGUGUAGCAAGACUGCCAAUUUGGUAAUGCAAAGCUGGAGAUAAGUGUGAAACUCUAGACUGGUUUUCUGUUUCAAAUGGCAGCAGGAUGUGACAGCUGCUGAGGCAGCCUUUUGCCCUUGGAGAGGAGAAGCAGGAGCAUGAUCACUAGAUGACCUCUCCCUCUAGCUUUCUCCUGGGUGGUAGGGACAGUCUCCCUCCCAGUCCCACUCUUGGUCAGGUGGCUACAUAUCAUGAAAAAGAGGAGGAAAAACAUGUUUUUGCUUUUAAAAUUAUUAUUAAAAGAGAAUACUCUUUGGGGAAGCAGAAUCCAUUAGCUGAAUUCAUUUCAGUAUCUAUGGUUAAUUAAUUUAGGCAGCCUUAAUGCAAUUUUAUUAUAUAGCCUUUAAGAGCUGUUCUGGUAAAUGCCCAUCCUAUAAAUACUAGCACUACUUUAUAUGUGUGAUUUUUUUUUGGAAGGGUAAAUCUGAAUUAUUAUCCAGAUAUUAAUCUGUGCACAACCCCAUCCAGACAAUGCAAAGAUGCUUCCUCAUAUUUUGAGCAUUGUUCAAUACAUUCAGAAGCAGGGGGGAAAACUGCUCAGAUAUGACGUUCUACAUUUUAAGUCAGUGGAUAAGUCAGCCUGGUUGCGUCCCAAAACAUACUCUUGAACAUCAAUUUCACCUUACUACUGACCAAGUAAUUGAUUUCUGCAUUUCAUUCUGUAAAUUAAACACUAGACUUUAAAUUACUAGAAGAAAUAGCACAGUUAGCCAAUAAACCUUUCUUAUAAAAUGACAGUAUUUUAAUUUAUUAGAUACAUUAGCAUUUAUUCAUGUCUAAGAUUUCAUCAAUCAAUUUUCCAUUUUAAAAAGCUGUCUCUGGAAGCAACAGUGGAGAGAUGCUGAGUUCCAAAAGCAAUGUUGUUCAAGGCAGCAGGUCUAGCGUUCCAGGCACAUGCUUAACUAAAUUCUGGUCAAUAACUAUGUGGUUCCAAGUAUAAACCCAUGUUUUUUAAAGUAUCUACCUUCUGAACUGACUCUUUUGGAAUGUCAGAAUUUUAAAAAGAAAAUAUUUAAAUUUCUCUAUUUAAGAGGUGUGCUAUGUUUGUUCAAUAUUGCAGCAACCUCUGAUUAUUAUUUUAAAAUAUUUAUUUUGCCACUUUGACAGACUUCUUCUACACUGCCCUUGGGUUUUAAUUUUGUUUACAGUACUGAAUUUCCAUAGUUGGCUUCAGAUUAAAUGAAUAUUAGUA